rnacentral:rRNA from 1 species
AUACCGGCGGCCCGAGUGGCGGCCACUAUUAUUGGGCCUAAAGCGUCCGUAGCCGGCCUGGCAAGUCCCCCGGGAAAUCUGGCGGCUUAACCGUCAGGCUGCCGGGGGAUACUGCCCGACUAGGGACCGGGAGAGGCCGGGGGUAUUCCCGGGGUAGGGGUGAAAUCCUGUAAUCCAGGGAGGACCACCUGUGGCGAAGGCGCCCGGCUGGAACGGGUCCGACGGUGAGGGACGAAGGCCUGGGGAGCGAACCGGAUUAGAAACCCUAGUAGUCC